ensembl:rRNA 5S_rRNA 5S ribosomal RNA
GCCUGCGGCCAUGCCUCCCUGAACACGCCUGAUCUUGUCUGAUCUCGGAAGCUACGCAGGGUCAGGCCCGGUUAGUACUUAGAUGGGAGACCGCCUGGGCAUACCGGGUGCUGUAGGCU